rnacentral:rRNA from 1 species
AAUCAACGCUGGCGGCGUGCCUCAGACAUGCAAGUCGAACGCGAAAGUCCCCUUCGGGGGACAAGUAGAGUGGCGCACGGGUGAGUAACACGUAGGUAAUCUACCUUCGGAUGGGGAAUAACAAUCGGAAACGGUUGCUAAUACCGCAUAAUGCAGCGGCACCUAAUGGUGACAGUUGUUAAAGCGGGGGAUCGAAAGACCUCGCGUCUGAAGAGGAGCCUGCGGCGGAUUAGCUAGUUGGUAAGGUAAUGGCUUACCAAGCGACGAUCCGUAACCGGCCUGAGAGGGCGGUCGGUCACACUGACACUGACAUACGGGUCAGACUCCUACGGGAGGCAGCAGUCGGGAAUUUUGGGCAAUGGGCGAAAGCCUGACCCAGCAACGCCGCGUGAAGGAUGAAAUCCCUCGGGAUGUAAACUUCG